UACAGGGGGGGCAAGCGUUGUUCGGAAUUACUGGGCGUAAAGGGUCUGUAGGUGGCCAACUAAGUCAGACGUGAAAUCCCUCAGCUUAGCUGGGGAACUGCGUCUGAUACUGGAUGGCUUGAGUGUGGGAGAGGAAUGCGGAAUUCCAGGUGUAGCGGUGAAAUGCGUAGAUAUCUGGAGGAACAUCAGUGGCGAAGGCGGCUUCCUGGUCCAACACUGACACUGAGGUGCGAAAGCGUGGGGAGCAAACAGG
rnacentral:rRNA from 1 species